rnacentral:rRNA from 1 species
CUUCCAGACUCCUACGGGAGGCAGCAGUGGGGAAUAUUGCACAAUGGGGGAAACCCUGAUGCAGCGACGCCGCGUGGGUGACGAAGUAUUUCGGUAUGUAAAGCCCUAUCAGCAGGGAAGAAGAUGACAGUACCUGACUAAGAAGCCCCGGCUAACUACGUGCCAGCAGCCGCGGUAAUACGUAGGGGGCAAGCGUUAUCCGGAUUUACUGGGUGUAAAGGGAGCGUAGACGGCGAUGCAAGCCAGGAGUGAAAGCCCGGGGCCCAACCCCGGGACUGCUCUUGGAACUGCGUGACUGGAGUGCAGGAGGGGCAGGCGGAAUUCCUGGUGUAGCGGUGAAAUGCGUAGAUAUCAGGAGGAACACCGGUGGCGAAGGCGGCCUGCUGGACUGCAACUGACGUUGAGGCCCGAAAGCGUGGGGAGCAAACAGGAUUAGAUACCCGCGUAAA